rnacentral:rRNA from 1 species
AGUGAACGCUGGCGGUAGGCCUAACACAUGCAAGUCGAACGGCAGCACAGUAAGAGCUUGCUCUUACGGGUGGCGAGUGGCGGACGGGUGCGAAAUACAUCGGAAUCUACUUUUUCGUGGGGGAUAACGUAGGGACACUUACGCUAUUACCGCUUACGGCCUACGGGUGAAAGCAGGGGACCUUCGGACCUUACGCGAUUGAAUGUGCGGAUGUCGGAUUAGCUAGUUGGCGGGGUAAAGGCCCACCAAGGCGACGAUCCGUAGCUGGUCUGAGAGGAUGAUCAGCCACACUGGAACUGAGACACGGUCCAGACUCCUACGGGAGGCAGCAGUGGGGAAUAUUGGACAAUGGGCGCAAGCCUGAUCCAGCCAUACCGCGUGGGUGAAGAAGGCCUUCGGGUUGUAAAGCCCUUUUGUUGGGAAAGAAAAGCAGCAGGUUAAUACCCCGCUGUUCUGACGGUACCAAAAGAAUAAGCACCGGCUAACUUCGUG